rnacentral:misc_RNA from 1 species
GAUGAAGAACUAAGUGAAAUGCGAUAAGUAAUGUGAAUUGCAGAAUUCAGUGAAUCAUCGAAUCUUUGAACGCACAUUGCGCCCUCUGGUAUUCCGGGGGGCAUGCCUGUUCGAGCGUCAUUAUAACCACUCAAGCUCUCGCUUGGUAUUGGGGUUCGCGGUUCCGCGGCCCCUAAAAUCAGUGGCGGUGCCUGUCGGCUCUACGCGUAGUAAUACUCCUCGCGAUUGAGUCCGGUAGGUCUACUUGCCAGCAACCCCCAAUUUUUACAGGUUGACCUCGGAUCAGGUAGGGAUACCCGCUGAACUUAAGCAUAUCAAUAAGCGGAGGA